AUAUGUCCCAUACUUGAUAAACAAAAAAGGGAAGAGGCUGAUCUUUUUCUUGCUCGUAAUAACAUGGAGAUCAUGGAUUCCGAGACCCCUUUCUUUCUCAAUCUUCUCCUCAAUUUUCAGGCCAUCAGUUGCAGGGGCUGUGGAGGUGGAUGGGAGGCCCCUCAAACAGCAGGUCUGGUCGUGCUGGGAGAUAAAGAAGAACAGCUCUAGAAAGGCUCAAUAAGAAGGGAAAGAAAGUCUCCUUGGCUGGUGUGAUGAAUUACUGCUAGAACCUCCAUCUUUUUCUUAAGUCCUCUCAAUAGAGCCAGAAUAGGAAUGGAGGGAAGACAUAAACCCCCUGGUUCUCCAGAAACACGAAAGAGCAUCAGCUUAUGGUUAAGGGAUCUUGAAAGAAUCUCCUGAACUCCCGGUUGCCACUGUAUUAUUAUGUGAAGCCCUGAGUGAGCUCCCCAUUUGUCCAAGAUCAUCUAGAUGG